rnacentral:pre_miRNA from 1 species
AAUAUACUCCCUCCGUCCCAAAAUUCUUAUCUUAAAUUUGUCUAAAUACGGAUGUAUCAAGUUACAUUUUAGUAUUAGGUACAUCCGUAUCUAGACAAAUCUAAGAAAAGAAUUUUGAAACGGAGGGAGUACAAA